UAGCCAGAAAUAAUUAGUAGCCUAACACCACAUGACAACUCCUACCUCAUUCACCUGACUUCAUCUCAUCACAUAGGCAUUAUAUCAUCUCACAGUCAUCACAAGAAAAAGAAGGACGGAAUGAAGUUGAUAAUAGUGAGACCUUGUUGGUACAAGACUACGUAACAUAACCUGCGCUUCUCAACAAAGAAUUGCUUUUCUGACUUCUGCACUCAGCUCCAGGUCAACAGUGGAAUAUUAGCAAAGUUUUGGAGGAGUCAAAAGAAACAGAUUUUCAUAUGAAGCAGAUUUUCAGCUGCAUGGGGGAUCAGCACCCUAACUCUCAUAUUGCUCAAGAUUCAACUGUAAUUAACUCUCAUUUACUAAAUGCAAACCAUUUAUUGUAAAAAUUAAAUAAAGCCCAGA